rnacentral:rRNA from 1 species
UACGUAGGGUCCGAGCGUUGUCCGGAUUUACUGGGCGUAAAGGGCGCGUAGGCGGCGUGACAAGUCACUUGUGAAAUCUCCGGGCUUAACCCGGAGCGGCCAAGUGAUACUGUCGUGCUAGAGUGCGGAAGGGGCUACUGGAAUUCUCGGUGUAGUGGUGAAAUGCGUAGAUAUCGAGAGGAACACCUGCGGCGAAGGCGGGUAGCUGGGCCGACACUGACGCUGAGGCGCGAAAGCCAGGGGAGCGAACGGG